rnacentral:rRNA from 1 species
UACAUGGGGUGCAAACGUUGCUCGGAAUCAUUGGGCGUAAAGCGCGCGUAGGCGGUUACUUAAGUCGGAUGUGAAAGCCCUUGGCUUAACUGAGGAAGUGCACCCGAAACUGAGUAGCUAGAGUACGAAAGAGGGUCGCGGAAUUCCCGGUGUAGAGGUGAAAUUCGUAGAUAUCGGGAGGAACACCGGUGGCGAAGGCGGCGACCUGGGUCGACACUGACGCUGAGGCGCGAAAGCGUGGGGAGCAAACAGG